ACGGCCCUGACUGAAAACCAGCAGUUAUACUGUAGCUGUUGGUUUCAAGCAGAGGCCCAAAGGACCAUCUUCCUGUGAUCUGUUGAUUUUUCUGGAACCUCAGCAGAGAAUGGCUAUUUCAUUUGGAAGAAACAACC
ensembl:snoRNA small nucleolar RNA, H/ACA box 2C